rnacentral:rRNA from 1 species
GACGAACGCUGGCGGCGUGCUUAACACAUGCAAGUCGAACGGAAAGGCCCUGCUUUUGUGGGGUGCUCGAGUGGCGAACGGGUGAGUAACACGUGAGUAACCUGCCCUUGACUUUGGGAUAACUUCAGGAAACUGGGGCUAAUACCGGAUAGGAGCUCCUGCUGCAUGGUGGGGGUUGGAAAGUUUCGGCGGUUGGGGAUGGACUCGCGGCUUAUCAGCUUGUUGGUGGGGUAGUGGCUUACCAAGGCUUUGACGGGUAGCCGGCCUGAGAGGGUGACCGGCCAGUGUGGGAUAGGAAUACGGCCCGGACGCCUCCGGGAGGCAGCAGUGGGGAAUGUUGCACAAUGGGGGGAGGCCUGUUGCAGAAACGCCGCGUGCGGGAGGCGGGCCUUCGGGUAUUAAACCGUUUUCGCCUGUGACGAAGCGUGAGUGACGGUAAUGUGUAAAGAAGCACCGCCUAACUACGUG